CCAUCUAGCAGUGAAUCAGGAGAGACUUGGGUGAGAAAUGACCGCUAAAUUUUGCUUAUGAAACAUCUCGUUCAUGCUCAUAAGGUUCCUUUACAUGACGUGAAUCUAUCUCAGCCGGCUCGCUAACCACUAGUCCACCAAGGGCGACAAUCCAAAGAGAUUGCUCUUAAUAAAUUCCCACAUCAAGCAAACAUUUGUCAUGGCCACAUUCAUUAACACUAAAUCUGAAAGGCCACAUUCAAUUUUUGAAUGGCAUUCUGGUGUAGAUAUUCCAAACUAAAUAAGCAGGAUCAUUUUUCAGACUGUAGAAACAACAUUUAGCUCCAAGUUUAUCCAGAAAGGGGAAGAAUAUAUCGUAACUUGCCAGAACUUUCAGCCUGCUUAUGUCCGACUUUUCUGGUAGCAGCAGGUCUGCAGAAAAUUGGUAUUAGCAAGAUGUGACUCAGCUUCAAUAGUUUAGCACCAAUUGGAAGAACUGAAGGAAUUUACAUUGUUCAUGAACUUAUGUCCUUCAAUUCUACAAGUUUAAUAGAUCGAACAUAAUAGGGAUGUUUGAACCAGCAGAGAACUUCCAGCGAUAUUGGAUGCAGUGGUAAAGUGUUUUCUCCUGGAGUUAAAUAAGAUAAAGUGUACACAGAAGAGACAUGUCAAAAUGCUGGACUCCCAUAACAGACAUCAGCCAGACUCAACGCUGAUUUCUCCCCAUAACUUCUCCAUCCUUCCUGUCUGACAAAGCAAAAAUUAAUAAUGUGAGGAAUAUAAGGCCCCCAGCAUUCAUGCUUUGGAGUACGCUGUGGUAACUUUCUUAUUCAGCAUCAUCGUAUCAAUGGGAACAUACGGAAUCCUGCCCUAUUGGAGCUGAGACCUCCCUCAUUACUGCCAGAAGAUAGAGGCGAGAUAACAAAGAGGCAGAUGAUUAAGCUCCUUAAGAUAAAUUUUCAUAUCAUAUCAAAUUACCAAUUUCGUUUCUCAUUGAUAUUUCUUUCUUUUAAAACCUAAAUAAUUUACUGCUCUUCACAUUGCAUUAUCAUAAUCAUUUUGUGGUCGCCACAAGUCUAUCAGGAAAAUGAACAAGAAAAGUAUCUGAAAUACAGAACUCAUACUGUUUAAAAUUAAGAGAAUAUUUCUUAUCGUUGCAUACGGAAAAAUGGUACAAAGUCAUCUGAGUUGACAACUUAAAUAUACUGAACCCUGAGAUGCAAACAUACCUGAGGUAAGUUCUAUAUAAAGCUAUAAGGUGACAGGAGUGUUUAAUUCAUGCUUAAUUUAAUAAUCAAAGUCAGAUACUAGCUUUUCCACGGCUCUUAGAAAUUGCGAUCUCACAGAUCAAAAAGAAUUUCAAACUGCCUUAACAGGCAUGAUCAAACUUGAUAAUACACUAAUAAUAUAAUAUACUAAAUUCUUCAUACAGGCUAAUUUAUGAAAUGAACGCCAAUCCUAAGUGUAUACUAAAUUUUGUAAUACUUGUGGUUGCUGUGUCAGGCAAAACUAAGUCUGAAAUACAUUUUCCUGUCAACGUAUUAACAAUACCAAAAAUUAUUUGAAAAAUGAAUUUCAUUCAUAAAGACUAGAUGAAUUAAGUGUGGACUAUAUUUAUUUAUAUCAUUAAAAUGUGUGAUUAAUUUAAUUUGUCUCCUCUCCAGACAAAAUUCCUAUGGUAAGAUACAAUUUGCUUUAACAGUGCUGUAAUAGUAAAAUAAUUAUUGGAAGAAUGACUAAAUACUUCAAGAGUUGAAAAUUAUUUACUGGGUGAUAUCAUAUCAUAGAUUAUUGGCUUUUUACAUUCUUGAUGACAUACAAUUUAAAUCAAUUUUUUUUUCCAAUUUUUUCUCAGGAGUAACCCCUGUUCAUCAUUUCAAAUCACUAAUCCCAAUAUGUUAUAACAAAAUAAGAUAUUAAAUGCUCAAUAUCAAGAGUGGUUUUCUACCGGUAAAAGCUUAUGUUAAAAGUAAUUUAACUGCCAUUUAAUAUACAGUAAUUAGACACACAAUAAACUAUUCUAGGCUGAAGUAGGUCAGACAUUCAUUUGAAUGUUUAUGAAGCAUUUAUGCUAUUCCUAAAAAAUUAUAAUGAAUACAUAUGUCUAACUGUAUAUUCAAAAUGUAAACUAAUAUAUUUCCAGACAGAACAUUAAGAAAUAAAAAAGAUUUUCAAAAAUGCCAAAAUGCCCCUGAUGGUCUAGUGGUUAGGGUACUAGCCUAGCAUCUAAAGGGUCUUGGGUUUGAUCCCAACCAGUGUCAAACAAUAAAAAAAAAGUGUCUGUAUAACAACAACCAAGUGCCCGAAAAUGGAAUUAGAGCAAACUCCCCAAAACCUCAUGAUCUGCAAAAAUACCUCACACAAUGGACAAUGUCCAACAUAGUGUUUCUAUAAUGAAUUAGCCACUGUCACAAUCCUUUAGGGAACCACAGAUUAAUUUCUACAGAGAACAAAAUGUCUUCAUGCAAUGUCAUUGCUAAUGGGCAGAAAUGAAUGUAUCAGUUAAUUUGUAUAUCCAAAGCACGUUUUCUACACAUCAAGGAAACACAAGAACAGUUGACUGGCUGGGAUGUGGUGCCAGUUCAAUUUCAGAAGCUUCAUUCCUGUUGUGACAUCUUGCAUCAUGUAUGAUUGUCAGCUUAUACGCCACAGACUGGGACAUGGAGAGACAGCAGGACCUAAAGCAGAUGACUACCAGGCCACAUUCUCCUCUGACAAAAGAAGUAAAGCAUGUUGCUGACCCAGCCCUUGGCUGGUCUCAAGAGUAAAUGCAGUUUACUGGCAGGCCACUGUGAAGCCAUCGUACUGUGAAGAAAUUAAUAAGGGAACACAGACAGAAGAUGGCUGUGUCAGAAAGGUGUGGCCAACCCUCAGGCAAGUCACCACUUCUUCAUGGUGGGCGGAGUGACAAGACCUUCAUGGAAGUACCCCUGGUUUCACAUCUUGCAGCUUGAUGCCUUAAGUGUGCUCCGAGUCCUCUUACCACUUUGCCAAGUAUUCUGACUGUGUGGAUAAAGUAACAUGUCGAACUUCACCAUGAAGAUGGAAACAGCCGGGUUCUCUUAAAUAAAGGUAAACCAGCCACCACAACAUGGGGCCAUCAUCCAAGAACAGAAAGAGAAGUAGCUACACUCUGCUGUGAAGGAAGACUUCCGUACCCCACAUUCUGUUUACCGAAAUACUGUUUCUAUGACAGUUGACUACACUGAUGAAUAAUUAAAAUUUCAAAGUACACAUUCAAUCAGAUUAAAACAGGAUUCAUUAAUAGUUAUGCCUCAGGAUAUGGUAUUUUGCAAAGAUUGCCAUAAAUCUUCAUUUGCCAUAACUAGGAAGUUCUCAGUUGAACAGAUUUCUGAAGAAAACAUUGUGCAUGUGAAGUGGACAUUCAGUUCUUGGAGUUACAGUAAAUGAAAACGUUGGGUAAAAUGCAAUAAACUUCUGUAAUUCAACAAAAUCUGGGGCAUGAAACAUUCACAUUACUGAGUGAAGGUGAUAAGAAAUAGACCGAAAGAGUGCGCAUUUGUCUAAGCACAGUCAGGAGUCUGGACAUUUAGUUUGUGCAUAUUUAAACCACUAUAUCAUAUUUCUAUGAUCAUGUUGUACAGUAAUUUAGGCAGAGGGAAAAAAAACUAUCUUUGUAUGUUGUUCUGGUGCAUGAGCAAUGAAGUACAUAUUAAUCACGCACCUGCCAAAAUACAUCUGAAUGAAUGAAAGGACUAGAGACCACCGUCCCAAAUCUGUUAAUUCCAUUAAAUGAGAUAUAAAUAAGGAGUUACAGAGACUUCUAGCCCUGCAAAUCUUGUGUUGUUAAUGCUACGUCUAUGUCAUACAAACUUAUAAGCCAAUAAAUUCCACUAUAUUUUGACGGGAUUCACGUGCAGAUGGUCGAGAAGUAAAAUCCUUGUAGAGCCAGAAUGUUUUUUACAGAAUGAAAUUGUUAAUAUGUUACUUCAUGA